rnacentral:rRNA from 1 species
AUUGAACGCUGGCGGCAGGCCUAACACAUGCAAGUCGAGCGGAUGAAGGGAGCUUGCUCCUGGAUUCAGCGGCGGACGGGUGAGUAAUGCCUAGGAAUCUGCCUGGUAGUGGGGGAUAACGUCCGGAAACGGGCGCUAAUACCGCAUACGUCCUGAGGGAGAAAGUGGGGGAUCUUCGGACCUCACGUUAUCAGAUGAGCCUAGGUCGGAUUAGCUAGUUGGUGGGGUAAAGGCCUACCAAGGCGACGAUCCGUAACUGGUCUGAGAGGAUGAUCAGUCACACUGGAACUGAGACACGGUCCAGACUCCUACGGGAGGCAGCAGUGGGGAAUAUUGGACAAUGGGCGAAAGCCUGAUCCAGCCAUGCCGCGUGUGUGAAGAAGGUCUUCGGAUUGUAAAGCACUUUAAGUUGAGAGGAAGGGCAGUAAGUUAAUACCUUGCUGUUUUGACGUUACCAACAGAAUAAGCACCGGCUAACUUCGUG